rnacentral:rRNA from 1 species
GACGAACGCGGCGGCGUGCCUAAUACAUGCAAGUAGAACGCUGAAGGAGGAGCUUGCUUCUCUGGAUGAGUUGCGAACGGGUGAGUAACGCGUAGGUAACCUGCCUGGUAGCGGGGGAUAACUAUUGGAAACGAUAGCUAAUACCGCAUAACAGUAGAUGUUGCAUGACAUUUGCUUAAAAGGUGCAAUUGCAUCACUACCAGAUGGACCUGCGUUGUAUUAGCUAGUUGGUGGGGUAACGGCUCACCAAGGCGACGAUACAUAGCCGACCUGAGAGGGUGAUCGGCCACACUGGGACUGAGACACGGCCCAGACUCCUACGGGAGGCAGCAGUAGGGAAUCUUCGGCAAUGGACGGAAGUCUGACCGAGCAACGCCGCGUGAGUGAAGAAGGUUUUCGGAUCGUAAAGCUCUGUUGUAAGAGAAGAACGAGUGUGAGAGUGGAAAGUUCACACUGUGACG